GACGAACGCUGGCGGCGUGCUUAACACAUGCAAGUCGAACGGAAAGGCCCUGCUUUUGUGGGUUGCUCGAUUGCCGAACGGGUGAGUAACACGUGAGUAACCUGCCCUUGUCUUUGGGAUAACUUCAGGAAACUGGGGCUAAUACCGGAUAGGAUCUCCUGCUGCAUGUUGGUGGUUGGAAAGUUUCGGCUGUUUGGUCUCGUCUCGCGGGUUAUGAGCUUGUUUGUCGGGUAGUUGCUUUCCAAGGCUUUGACGGGUAGCCGGCCUGAGAGGGUGACCGGCGACAUUGGGACUGAGAUACGGACCAGACUCCUACGGGAGGCAGCAGGGGGGAAUAUUGCACAAUGGGCGGAAGCCUGAUGCAGCAACGCCGCGUGCGGGAUGACGGCCUUCGGGUUGUAAACCGCUUUCGCCUGUGACGAAGAGUGAGUGACGGUAAUGGGUAAAGAAGCACCGGCUAACUACGUG
rnacentral:rRNA from 1 species